AAUAAUACCAUCUCACAGAAAGAAAACCGUCCCUUCAUCAGCCCUGUCUACCCCUGAAAAGGACUCAAGCUGGCCUUGAUGAGGAUUAUAAGCUCUGUGAAAUUCUUCAGUGAAUCCCCAGUGCCUUGACGAGGACAUGGCAGCUGAUUUAUGCCCACUGUAUUGGAGCCGGAGGAAGGAAAGAAUAACAUAUAUCUAUCUCCUUAAAGAACUGCCUGAGCAGUGGCCACAGUAUUGGCAAAGGUCAGUUUUCAUUCCAAUCCCGAAGAAAGGCAAUGCCAAAGAAUGCUCAAAUUACCACACAAUUGCACUCAUCUUACAUACUAGUAAAGUAAUGCUCAAAAUUCUCCAAGCCAGGCUUCAAUAGUACGUGAACUGUGAACUUCCAGAUGUUCAGGCUGGAUUUAGAAAAGGCAGAGAAACCAGAGAUCAAAUUGCCAACAUCUGUUGGAUCAUCAAAAAAGCAAAAGAGUUCCAGAAAAACGUCUAUUUCUGCUUUAUUGACUAUGCCAAAGCCUCUGACUCUGUGGAUCA